CGUCAUUUAAGUGUUAUGAGAACAGAGUAAAGUACAUCUACCUUCCAGAACAAAACCGUAGCAGAAUGGGUGUGGCACUUACAUGCAUCUGCGUUUGAAACUCGACUCACGUCAGAGAUAGCCAAUUUGAAACUGCCAACUGCAUAAAUUCGCAAUGCCAGUACCAUAAUAUUCAGAUUCUUGACUGCCGGCAGCGACACUGCAAAAAGACAAGGAGCUCUGUGA